UGUGUUAAAGUAACCACCCUAUAUAUAUAUAUAUAUAUAUAUAUAUAUAUAGGGUGGUUACUUUAACACA